GACAGAGGUGCCGAGCGUUAGGCGGAAUCACUGGGCUUAAAGCGUGUGUAGGCGGACUUCUAAGUACCUUGUGAAAUCCCACAGCUCAACUGUGGAACUGCUCGGUAUACUGGUUGUCUUGAGCCACUUAGGGGCAGUCGGAACAGACGGUGGAGCGGUGAAAUGCGUUGAGAUCGGAAGGAACGCCCGUGGCGAAAGCGGGCUCCUGGACCCCACCUGACGCUGAGACGCGAAAGCCAGGGGAGCAAACGGG
rnacentral:rRNA from 1 species